GAGUGCAAUUGAUAGCGAGUUGGACUUCUAAUCCAAAAAUCGUGUGUUCGAAUCCCACCUGAAAUG